UACGUAGGGUGCAAGCGUUGUCCGGAAUUAUUGGGCGUAAAGCGCGUGUAGGCGGCUUUGCAAGUCGGGUGUGAAAGCCCUCAGCUCAACUGAGGAAGUGCGCCCGAAACUGCAGAGCUUGAGUACCGGAGAGGAUGGUGGAAUUCCCCAAGUAGAGGUGAAAUUCGUAGAUAUGGGAGGAACACCGGUGGCGAAGGCGACCAUCUGGACGGAUACUGACGCUGAGACGCGAAAGCGUGGGUAGCAAACAGG
rnacentral:rRNA from 1 species